rnacentral:rRNA from 1 species
UGGCGGACGGGUGAGUAACGCGUGGGUAACCUGCCCUGUACAGGGGGACAACAGCUGGAAACGGCUGCUAAUACCGCAUAAGCCUACAGUGCCGCAUGGUACAGCAGGAAAAACUCCGGUGGUACAGGAUGGGCCCGCGUCUGAUUAGUUAGUUGGCAGGGUAACGGCCUACCAAGACAACGAUCAGUAGCCGGCUUGAGAGAGUGGACGGCCACAUUGGGACUGAGACACGGCCCAAACUCCUACGGAAGGCAGCAG